rnacentral:misc_RNA from 1 species
CAAGUCUUCAAUCUCAGCCUAUGCCUUCACACCCUCUACAGACGCCUCAGUUGCCGAAGGGACAUUUGAACCCACAAGUGACCCCAAUUUCUGUUCAACAAUCCUCUCAACUUCCAAACAUACCUCCACCUCUUCAUUCUGCUUCACAGCCACCCCCACUUCACCAACCUCAAAUGCCCNCCCCAAAUGCCUACUGUCUCCACUCAGUUGCAACAGCCAUUACGGACAACUGGAAUUGCUCAUCCGCCUUUGCAACCACCAUUGCCUCCCCAAGCUAGACUACCUUCUGUUCCAAGCUUUCAUCAUCAGUGUGGACCACAAAUGGGGCCCAAUGUGGGUU